CAUUCACGGAGAGUUUGAUCCUGGCUCAGGACGAACGCUGGCGGCGUGCUUAACACAUGCAAGUCGAACGAUGAAGCCUUUCGGGGUGGAUUAGUGGCGAACGGGUGAGUAACACGUGGGCAAUCUGCCCUUCACUCUGGGACAAGCCCUGGAAACGGGGUCUAAUACCGGAUAACACUCUGUCCUGCAUGGGACGGGGUUGAAAGCUCCGGCGGUGAAGGAUGAGCCCGCGGCCUAUCAGCUUGUUGGUGGGGUAAUGGCCUACCAAGGCGACGACGGGUAGCCGGCCUGAGAGGGCGACCGGCCACACUGGGACUGAGACACGGCCCAGACUCCUACGGGAGGCAGCAGUGGGGAAUAUUGCACAAUGGGCGAAAGCCUGAUGCAGCGACGCCGCGUGAGGGAUGACGGCCUUCGGGUUGUAAACCUCUUUCAGCAGGGAAGAAGCGCAAGUGACGGUACCUGCAGAAGAAGCGCCGGCUAACUACGUGCCAGCAGCCGCGGUAAUACGUAGGGCGCAAGCGUUGUCCGGAAUUAUUGGGCGUAAAGAGCUCGUAGGCGGCUUGUCACGUCGGAUGUGAAAGCCCGGGGCUUAACC
rnacentral:rRNA from 1 species